GUUGUAUAGUCAAGUAAUUAAGUGCAUGUGGUGGAUGCCUUGGCAGUCAGAGGCGAUGAAAGACGUGAUAGCCUGCGAAAAGCUCCGGGGAGGCGGCAAAUAUCCUUUGAUCCGGAGAUUUCUGAAUGGGGGAACCCACCCGCUACAAGGCGGGUAUCAUAAGCUGAAUACAUAGGCUUAUGAAGCGAACGAGGGGAAGUGAAACAUCUCAGUACCCUUAGGAAAAGAAAUCAAUUGAGAUUCCCUUAGUAGCGGCGAGCGAACGGGGAGCAGCCCAUUAAGUUAUGUGUGUUCUAGUGGAACGCUCUGGGAAGUGCGAACGUAGAGGGUGAUAUUCCCGUACACGAAAGGGCACACACAAUGAUGACGAGUAGGGCGAGGCACGUGAAACCUUGUCUGAAUAUGGGGGGACCAUCCUCCAAGGCUAAAUACUCCUGACUGACCGAUAGUGAACCAGUACCGUGAGGGAAAGGCGAAAAGAACCCCUGUGAGGGGAGUGAAAUAGAUCCUGAAACCGCAUGCAUACAAGCAGUGGGAGCACCUUCGUGGUGUGACUGCGUACCUUUUGUAUAAUGGGUCAGCGACUUACAUUCAGUAGCAAGGUUAACCGAAUAGGGGAGCCGUAGAGAAAUCGAGUCUUAAUAGGGCGUUUAGUUGCUGGGUGUAGACCCGAAACCAGGCGAUCUAUCCAUGAGCAGGUUGAAGGUUGGGUAACACUAACUGGAGGACCGAACCCACUGUCGUUGAAAAGCCAGGGGAUGACUUGUGGAUAGGGGUGAAAGGCUAAUCAAGCCUGGUGAUAGCUGGUUCUCCCCGAAAGCUAUUUAGGUAGCGCCUCGGACGAAUACCAUU
rnacentral:rRNA from 1 species